CAACUCUUGACAUCCCAUUGACCGCUUGAGAGAUCAAGUUUUCCCUUCGGGGACAAUGGUGACAGGUGGUGCAUGGUUGUCGUCAGCUCGUGUCGUGAGAUGUUGGGUUAAGUCCCGCAACGAGCGCAACCCUUGUCAUUAGUUGCUACGCAAGAGCACUCUAAUGAGACUGCCGGUGACAAACCGGAGGAAGGUGGGGAUGACGUCAAGUCCUCAUGGCCCUUAUGGGUAGGGCUUCACACGUCAUACAAUGGUACAUACAGAGGGCCGCCAACCCGCGAGGGGGAGCUAAUCCCAGAAAGUGUAUCGUAGUCCGGAUUGUAGUCUGCAACUCGACUACAUGAAGUUGGAAUUGCUAGUAAUCGCGGAUCAGCAUGCCGCGGUGAAUACGUUCCC
rnacentral:rRNA from 1 species